rnacentral:rRNA from 1 species
UACGUAGGGGGCAAGCGUUGUCCGGAAUCAUUGGGCGUAAAGCGCGUGUAGGCGGUCCGGUAAGUCCGCUGUGAAAGUCGGGGGCUUAACCCUCGGAUGCCGGUGGAUACUGUCGGGCUUGAGUACGAAAGAGGCGAGUGGAAUUCCUGGUGUAGCGGUGAAAUGCGCAGAUAUCAGGAGGAACACCAAUUGCGAAGGCAGCUCGCUGGGACGUUACUGACGCUGAGACGCGAAAGCGUGGGGAGCAAACAGG